AGAGGCCUACUUAAUCAGUUGGCUCUAUCCCGAACAACAUAAACAUUGGACGAAUAAAGAAUCUACAGUAGUAAAUUAUUAGCUAACUAAUAUGUGCUACUAGGGACAAUAAGAUAUACUGAGAAAGUGCAUGAAAAGUGCAAAAGAACUUUUAAGAAAUGUUUAUGUGGACAUGAUUCUUAGUCUUACAAAACUAAGGUGCAAAAUACGCAUGCACACGCAAAAGCUAAAGAGAUAAAUCGUGAUUUUGAAGUAUACAACUAAUGUAUACAUGGUAUAAUAAAUUUAGAGUAUCUGUAUAUUGUAUUUUCUUUUUCUAGAAAAUUAAACUAGAUCUUAACUAAAUAAUAAAUUAUUUCGAUGAAAUAAUGAUAAUUUGACGAGAUAAUGAUGAUUAUUUCACUAAUGAAGCAAUACCUCAAGAGGAAGCACUUGUAUUAUCUGUACUUAAAAGGCAGAAGUAUGGAAUGUUUAAUAUUUGCCAACGCUUCUGUAAGAAUCUCGAGCUUUCAAAAAUCAGUUGUAUGAAGAUGCCAAACAAGAGGAAAUUUUGAGAUCAUUAAUGAAGUGAUGAACUAGAACAUCAGAUUAUAAAUGCAAAUACGGCACUACGAAGAAAUGAAGGAAAGAGGCAAAAUUCAGAAGUGUCCGCUUUGACUAGAAGAAUUGGCUGAUCUUCACAGUUUGUAUACACAUUUUAAAUUUCUCUCUUUCUCUCUCUCACUCACUUUCUUUCUCUCAAACAUAAGAUUUUAAGAUAAGUUUUGGCAUAUUUUAUUGGCAUUCAAAAAAUAUAAUUUUAUCUUUAGCUUUUUCACUUUAGCUUUUACGUGUGAGUUUAUUUUGCACUUCGGUCUUCUCUUUUGUAAGGCUAAAACUCGGUUGCAACAAUAUUUUGAUUUUAAGCGAGAUUUAAACAUGUAUUUAUCUUUAUUUUUCUUUCUAAAUAAAUAAAGAGACAUAUAUUUAAAUCUCGCUUAAAACCAAAAUAAUCUUGAUGCAACCGGACUUAAAGAUAAUUGUCAGCAGUUUCCUUAAAUGUUCUAUUGUACUUUUGAUGCACUUUCUGCAGCAUAUGUUGUCAUCUCUAGUAGCAUAUAUUAGUUAGCCAAUGAUUUGUCACUGUAAAUUCUAUAAUCGCCCAAUACUUUGUACUGCUUGAGAUAGAGCCAACUAAUUAGUAGGCCUCUUAAAAUUAAAGCUAAAUUAUUUUUUGUUAUUGUCUUUUUCAAUUUGGUAUUUCCUAAUAAAAGUUCUGCUAAUUUUAUAUAUCUUUUACGCAUUUUGUCACUUGUUUCCAAUUUCAAUAUUAUGACCAUAGAAUCUUACAAAAAAAGAAACUUUACUUUUUAUUGUAAAAUCCAUACAGCAAAAAUGUCCAAAAUAUAUUAUAAGGAUAUCCUAAAAAUAUUGCGACGUCCAUAGGAGAGACAUUCAUAAAAUGUUAAGAUAAAUAUAUUGGCAUCCAAAAAUUAA